UACGGGGGGGGCAAGCGUUGUUCGGAAUUACUGGGCGUAAAGGGCUCGUAGGUGGCCAACUAAGUCACACGUGAAAUCCCUCGGCUUAACCGGGGAACUGCGUGUGAUACUGGAUGGCUUGAGUUUGGGAGAGGGAUGCGGAAUUCCAGGUGUAGCGGUGAAAUGCGUAGAUAUCUGGAGGAACACCGGUGGCGAAGGCGGCAUCCUGGACCGACACUGACGCUGAGGAGCGAAAGCCAGGGGAGCAAACGGG
rnacentral:rRNA from 1 species